rnacentral:rRNA from 1 species
UACGUAGGGGGCGAGCGUUGUCCGGAUUUAUUGGGCGUAAAGGGCGUGUAGGCGGUUUUUUAGGUCAGAGGUGAAACCCUGCAGCUCAACUGCGGGCCUGCCUCUGAAACCGGGAGACUUGAGUGCUCUAGAGGGCAGUGGAAUUGCCGGUGUAGCAGUGAAAUGCGUAGAGAUCGGCAGGAACACCAGUGGCGAAGGCGACUGCCUGGGGAGUAACUGACGCUGAGGCGCGAAAGCUGGGGGAGCAAACGGGAUUAGAUACCCCGGUAGUCCCAGCCGUAAACGAUGAGUGCUAGGUGUAGGGGGUAUCGACCCCCCCUGUGCCGGCGUUAACGCAAUAAGCACUCCGCCUGGGGAGUACGGCCGCAAGGUUG